rnacentral:rRNA from 1 species
GAUGAACGCUGGCGGCGUGCCUAAUACAUGCAAGUAGAACGCUGAAGGAGGAGCUUGCUCUUCUGGAUGAGUUGCGAACGGGUGAGUAACGCGUAGGUAACCUGCCUGGUAGCGGGGGAUAACUAUUGGAAACGAUAGCUAAUACCGCAUGACAACAGUUAUUGCAUGAUAACUGUUUAAAAGGUGCAACUGCUCCACUACCAGAUGGACCUGCUUUGUAUUAGCUAGUUGGUGAGGUAACGGCUCACCAAGGCGACGAUACAUAGCCGACCUGAGAGGGGGGUCGGCCACACUGGGACUGAGACACGGCACAGACUCCUAAGGGAGGCAGCAGUAGGGAAUCUUCGGGAAUGGACGGAAGUCUGACCGAGCAACGCCGCGUGAGGGAAGAAGGUUGUCGGAUCGUAAAGCUCUGUUGUAAGAGAAGAACGAGUGUGAGAGUGGAAAGUUCACACUGUGACGGUAACUUACCAGAAAGGGACGGCUAACUACGUG